GUGCUUGCUUCAGCAACACAGAUUCUAACAUUGGAAUGAUACAAAGGAGAUUAACAUGGCCCUGAACAAGAAUGGUGUGCAUACUCAUGAAACAUCUCUGAUGCAAUGUUUU